rnacentral:misc_RNA from 1 species
CUGAAAUUUUAGAAUUUUUAAUUUAAAAUAAAUUAUUUUGGUUAAUCUUGGGUUACUCAAGUUUAACCCUAAAAUUUUCAGAACAUUUUGCAUUUGAUGUAGAUUCAAGUGGAUUUUAACUUUUUCUAAAUUAGUUUCCAGCCGAGUUAGCAUGUUAGGUAAAAAUUACUCAACUCUAUCAUUUUUCUCUAGGCAAAUAGUUGCCCUUUUCUUUUUGGUCAAGUUUCAAAUGAAUUUUCCUUUCUAGUAAAAAAUUUUUUUAUAAAGAGUAAAAUUUUAUUAAUCAUUUUUGGAUUACUAUGUUGAGUAUUUGAAUUUCCUUUCAUACACUAGUUUGCUUCAUUAUUUUUAUUUGAAACAUUUUAGCUGCUGGUGAAUUGAGGAUGAACAUAACAGAAAGCAAGAAUAAUUCAAGGUUAGUUGAUGCAGUAUUGAAAGAUGAUUAAACUUAGGAAUUAUAUUCUUUGUAGAAUUAUGAAGUUUAAGAA